UCCCUCUGAUGACACCGCGAAUCUGGGAAUGAAGAACUUCUUAGAGCUGAUUGGAAAUGGCAUUGCGGAGCUGAAACUUAACUGGAGGAAAUAUAUCUCCUGAAGAAGAAAAUAUAAUGCACUGUAAGGAUCUGUCUUCUGGUGAAAAAUCCAAGCCUAGAGAAAACUUGUCCGCUUUCUUAGGAAGAAUGGGUUGGACAAUUUUCUUCAGUUCCAAAGGAUAUCUGAAUGCCAUGCUGAGCUUAAUCUCUGCAGCAUGCUCUGUGCUUCUCAUCUCUUCCUGAUGCACUGCAUGGUUAUUCUGAAGGGGAAGAUAAAGAAACUGGCCACCAAGAUGGUAAUCACUAGUGGAAAUGAAGAAGAUAAAGGCAGUCAAGAAAAGGAAAGCAAAGAAGAAACCAUCUUGGCAAUGCUUGGAAUUAUUGGGACAAUUCUGAACCUCAUUGUGAUCAUUUUUGUGUAUAUUUAUACAACGUUGUAAACUAGAAGGCAUGCAAAUAGACCAGAUAAAACGGCCAUUAAGAGUGACAACAAACAUUGGUGACUAUUGACAAAUUCUUUAAUCAGAAUUGACUCUGUAUUAUAUUAUAUUAACACAUCAUAAAAGCACUGCCUGAAGGCAGCGAAGACUGAAGCACAAUUAAUUUAACAGGACUUUUUCACACAGUAAUAAGCUUAACUCUUCUCUCCUGCCCUCUCCCUUUCCGUUUGGUUUUCAGUUUGGGGGAGAAUGACUGCAGUUAUGUAAGUUGUAGCUUUGAAGAAAUCCACCAGGGAUAUGUUGUUUUAACACAACAAAAAUAAAAAAAAAAAAAAAGGAAAAGAAAAAAAAAAAAGGAAAAGAAACUGUACACUAUAUAUAAUUAGAAAUGUAUGCUGUAUACCCACAAAGAUUGAACUCAAAGAUAGCUUCAUAGCACAGAUCACGUGUCUGUUAGGUCAAAUGGUUUUUUCUCUUGGUUUUUGCUUUUACUUACAUUGAAUCUGACAAGCUUUUUAUUUAGAAUGAACAUAUGGUGCAAUCAUGAAAAAAACAAUUCCAUCGAGCAAGGUCUGCCUAAACCUGAUAAAAUGUUGGGAGAAAUACAUUACAUGGUUAUUUUUCCUUUCUCAUUUGCUUAACAUCUGUGUCUGUUCAUACCAAUGUUUAUAAAUAUAUAUUUUUAAUAAAUGUGCUAUAUUUUUAGCAUGAACCAAA